UACGGAGGGGGCGAGCGUUAUUCGGAAUUAUUGGGCGUAAAGGGCGCGUAGGCGGCUGCACAAGUCAAAGGUGAAAUCCCUCGGCUCAACUGAGGAACUGCCUUUGAAACUGUGCGGCUUGAGUCCGGGAGGGGGUAGCGGAAUUCCCAGUGUAGCGGUGAAAUGCGUAGAUAUUGGGAGGAACACCAGUGGCGAAGGCGGCUACCUGGACCGGAACUGACGCUGAUGCGCGAAAGCGUGGGGAGCAAACAGG
rnacentral:rRNA from 1 species